AUCUGUUUGGUUGACGGACAACUGGUACUUCUUGUGAAACAGGAUGUCCAGUCGUUUGAUUGCAUUGGCCAGUCCCAGUCCGGUGCCUGGUC
rnacentral:tRNA from 1 species